AUCUAUUAUUGACAAAAUAUAUAGCGAUAUGUUUCUUGUUUUGAUCUGCACAACUACAUAUUUUUAUAUUUAAAUAAUGUAUUUCUUAAGUAAAUUUAAAGAUAAUUUAUUAUUCGGGCUGCUAGUUUUACAUACAUUUCUGCAAAAGUCACAUAGCAUAUGUGUAAAUCAUACAAUAUAUAAAGGCAGUUAUAAACUUAUAAAUAUAAUUUAUAAAGACGUAUCAUAUUAAAACUAAUUUUAUAUUACAGGAUUCUGCCAAUUAUUCUUACAUCAUUCGGACAACUGUUCUUCUUAAAAUUUAAAAGAACGCAAAGAAUAACUGAAGUUUAUAAAAGUUGAAGAAAUUUUCACAAGGAUUAGAACAGCCUGCGACCACAUCAUCGGCAGAAAACUGAACUCAAAUGGAAGCGCUUGCACUCAUGUCACUAUCAUGUCCUGACAAUUUCGGAUUUUAUAAAACUAUAGGAGACGUGAUUGACG